UACAGAGGUCGCAAGCGUUGUUCGGAUUCAUUGGGCGUAAAGGGUGCGUAGGCGGCGCGGUAAGUCGGGUGUGAAAUCUCGGAGCUUAACUCCGAAACUGCAUUCGAUACUGCCGUGCUUGAGGACUGGAGAGGAGACUGGAAUUUACGGUGUAGCGGUGAAAUGCGUAGAUAUCGUAAGGAACACCAGUGGCGAAGGCGGGUCUCUGGACAGUUCCUGACGCUGAGGCACGAAGGUCAGGGGAGCAAACGGG
rnacentral:rRNA from 1 species